rnacentral:ncRNA from 2 species
GGGCAAGACUCUGGAGAGAGGCCGGAAGGCCCGCCGAAGGGAUAACGAUCUCAGGCGAAGGGACAGAGGGGGCAUC